rnacentral:sRNA from 1 species
AGGUGCCACGCGGACAUGCCGGUUGCUCUGCGCCGACCGCAUCCAGCUGACCACUGCAUGCGAGGUCUUGUUAGCU